AUGGUUGAGGCUUUAGUGUGUACUAGUGAUUGGCUUAGAGGAAAAGAAUUUUGUUUCUACAAGGAGCCUACCCUUGACGAAUUAUGUUUCUAUGAGGAGCUUGAACGCUUAGAAAGAAACAUGGCUAAUUUGGGAGGUGAGGAGAAUACAACACAAGAAAAUGAAAUGCCACCUCCACCUCCUCGACCACCUCAAGUACAAGUUCAACAACGUCAAAAUCAAUCACUACCUCCACGACCACGACCACCCAUUGUAAGGGGAAGGGCUCAACCAUCAACAUCAAGGGGAAAAUUACAAGUGCCAACAAGAAGGGGCCGAAGGGGCCGAAGAGGUCAACAAUCUUCAUAAACUUGAAACUUUUGAGUGUUACAAGUUUGAGGAAGAAUCGCCCAAGUAAUCCUCCUCUCAUUCUUUUUUUCGUUUUGUUUUUCUGUAAAAUAUGUUAACUAUGAAAUUGUUUGUAAGUGUGCAAGUAGCUACUCAACUUAGUCAAAAUUUAAUUUGGCAGUU